UACGGAGGGUGCAAGCGUUAUCCGGAAUUACUGGGUUUAAAGGGUGCGUAGGCGGAUGAGCAAGCGUCUUGUGAAAGCCCUCAGCUCAACUGAGGAAUUGCGGGGCGAACUGCUUGUCUUGAGGCAGGUAGAGGUCGUCGGAACGUUAGGUGGAGCGGUGAAAUGCGUUGAUAUCUAACGGAACACCGAAGGGGUAGCCAGGCGACUGGGCCUGUCCUGACACUGAGGCACGAAAGCGUGGGGAUCAAACAGG
rnacentral:rRNA from 1 species